UUUCUAAGGUUGACCUCGGAUCAGGUAGGGAUACCCGCUGAACUUAAGCAUAUCAAUAAGCGGAGGAA
rnacentral:rRNA from 1 species